rnacentral:rRNA from 1 species
UACGUAGGGGGCGAGCGUUGUCCGGAUUUAUUGGGCGUAAAGAGCGUGUAGGCGGCCAUGUAGGUCCGUUGUGAAAACUCGAGGCUCAACCUCGAGACGCCGAUGGAAACCAUGUGGCUAGAGUCCGGAAGAGGAGAGUGGAAUUCCUGGUGUAGCGGUGAAAUGCGCAGAUAUCGGGAGGAACACCUAUGGCGAAGGCAGCUCGCUGGGACGUUACUGACGCUGAGACGCGAAAGCGUGGGGAGCGAACAGG